GGCUUUAGUGCUUCCCUGCUGUUCAGGGCAAAAAGGGACUGCUUUUGUAUUCUCAGUGUUGCACUUCAACUAUAUAGUCCCCGUAGUUUUGUUUCAACUACCUGAAGUUUAUCUGGGCAUGAGAGGUGGUUGUACCAGCCCUGGAAAUGAUUCCUGGGUUGUAUUUACAUUGUCUGCGGUAAAGAUCUUGUCAGCUGUUAGCUGAAAAACAUGUUUGCUGGCUUUGACCUGUUAUUCUAGAGUUUCCUUUUCUAACUGUUAGACAGUGUUCAAUACUUCCAGGAGGUCUCGAGGUUGAGCUCCCUCUCGCUCCUUUCCUGGAUAUUAUUAAAAAAGAAAAAAAUGUGUUUCCUUGGCACUUUCCAAUUGUCAAUAUUCAAUGGAAGUUUCUAUUUCUAUGAAGAUUUUUUCAGUUGUUACUCAGCUAACUGGUUGAAAUAUUUUCUCACCAUUCUACGGUACCGGUACAAUGUUUCAUUCCAUAUUUAUUGUACUUCCAAGUUUAUUGUACUACACUGGAGUACUGAUUGUUCUAUCUGGAGGAGGUACCAUUGAUUAGUUUAUGCAUAUAUAUAGUAGUGCAACUAUGUUGUGCUUAUUGUUUCUUAUUUCAGCACUUGCAAAUCAAGGAAUUCGGAGAGCCAUGAAAAUAUGCAAUCAUUUCAUGCAUGUUUUUUUCUCUAGUUUGAUUUAGCUUAAAAUCUCUUGUAGCAUCUUGUGUCUUGUACGCUUCCAAAACCAUGUUAAAUUGAUGAAGCUGUUUUAUGAUACUGUAGGAUAUAACAAUGUCAAGUUUGGUUCAAAUGGAUGCAACCAAGUGACUAACUGAAAGUACAUCAAGUCAAGGUACAAUCUUAUUUCCUAUUACAUCUACUCUUUUUUCUUAUUGGUAUUCCUUGAUCUCCCUGCAAUCCAAUAACCACACACCAUGGAUCACAGUUCAUGAUCAGGGUGCCAUCGCCUUUCGUUAAAGGUUCAGGACCCCAUUCCAUUAGUGUUUGACUUGCACAGGCAAGGUGGUCAUCUUGCUCUAUGGAUGUAUGUUUCAGUGUUGAUUCACUGUCAUGUGCACGGUACCUGCUGCUCUAGUCCUAAUCAUAAUCGUCCCCAUAAUAAUAGCUAAGAAUCAGCCUGAAUGAGUCAGGUUUCUUUUGGGGUUGUUGUAUAGACUUGUCUAUCUGCAUUAAUCAUUGUGUGAUGGGCCAGCUUCUUAGUUGCUUAUUUAUGUGAAUUCAUUAGGUUAAUGCAUCUUGUCAUAUUCUCAAUGCCAUGUUAUCUCAUCUGCAAGCAUGAAAGGUUCUUUUCCUCCUUCAAAGCCCUGUGUGUUUCCUAGUCCCCACUUGUGGAAGUUGUCUCAUCUUUCUUACCACCAUCUUGGAUUCUUGACGUACUGACUGGAUUGGCUUUUGCGUGACAUCAUAAAUUGAUGAUCUGAAAGAAAUUGACCACGCAUAUUACACUUGCUGAGAAAGAAUCCAUGAUUCAAGAGAUCACAUCCAUCCAUCCAUCUUCAUUGUGCUAUUUAUUGAAAACUAGCAGCGGGGCAGAUCUGCUGGAGGAUGAGGGAGAGUCUCGAGGUGCCCAUUCCCAUUCUUCACUAUAAAAACCGUACCUAACCCCCACGACUGGUGUAUAUCCAAGUGACAAUGCAUAAACCAAACACCUAUAAUAAAAUUAUAUAAGAAGGCUGGUCAAGUAGAAGUUUUUUAAAAAGUAGUAGUAAUGGACUCAGAUAAAUUUUUUUUAAUCAAGUGAUAUGUUUGCUUAUAUGUGUCUUACCAGGAUUGUCAGCAACAAAUCGAAUGGCGGCCCAUCCACCCACUGGAACUCCGAUUGUGUUCAUGUAUGGUGGAUCAACUAAAUUUAGAUUUGCUGUCUGCGGAUUAUAGUUUCCUGCGCCAUAACCCACAACGUAGAAGCUAUAGCCAUGAAGAUGAAUAGGGUGAUUCUCAGUUGUUACCGUCCCAGUAUCCUGCAAGAUCAUUUGCACGCGGGUUCCGUAUUCAAGGACCUUGACCCUAGUCCCAUUCAUCGAGCUGGUGUCGUUAGGAGCGUUGUUCGGUGCCCCAUUGACGAAGUCAUAGAAUCUGAAGGGUGCCCCGGGAAAGUUAUCGGUGAAAAACCCGUCAAUUCCCUUAUAAUAAGCUUCCAAAACUGAAACUGUUGGCUUGAUGAAACUGAUAUUGUUCAUAGAAGCUGCCAUCGUCCCAUUAUUGAGGCCUUGGCAGUUCUGCUGUGGUGUCUUGGACCUACACUUGUUAACGUUCAUCCCAAUGGUAAGAAAGAGGUUAGUAUCAAUCUCUUUUGGAACAUCGGAAGUGUUUAGGCCUCUUAGGCCAUCCAUGACUGUCUUAACAGCCAAAUUGUCGUUAAAGCUGGGUAAUCUAGCUGGUAAAGAUAAGCUGUUAGGCAUUGCUCCCACGUACUGGAAGUACGCAAUUGCAGAUAUAUUCUGGAAUGCAACGUUUUGACCUGACGCAUAAGGUCCCAUGGCCAUGGAGUAUUUUCCAAUUGUCUGAUCAGCGGUAACUAGGACGAUCAUGGUCUGGCCUGGUCCGAGCAUCACACGGUCUGUGGUGAAAGGUUUUGUGUAUUCAGCAUCGGCUUCCACUAUUGUUAAUUUGUGAUUAGCAAUAGCGAAGAAGUUCUCCAUGUUUAAGCCUGCGUUUAUCAGCCUUAACAAGUAGGUCUUCCCAGGGAGCACAUCGAUCUUGUACACAUCUGAAAUGUAUUACGACUUUAUAGUUACCACGUAACAAAUUUAAAAGCAGGAUUAAUUGAAAUAUAGUAAUGAAAUAGUUAGUAGCUGAGCUGGUAAAAAAGAAUCGACGUGUUCGAUAUUCUUUUGUUUUCAAGACUUCCCCUCAACAUGAAUAUUUAAUAUUUUUCAGCGUA